GGCUUUAUAGUCAAUAUAUGAUAUCAGACUGCAAUUCUGAAGUAGUAUUUAUAUACUAAAGCUU
rnacentral:tRNA from 1 species